rnacentral:tRNA from 1 species
CGAGAGGUACCGAAGUGGUCAUAACGGGGCGGUCUUGAAAACCGUUAGAGUGAAAGCUCACGUGGGUUCGAAUCCCACCCUCUCGGCCA